rnacentral:rRNA from 1 species
UACGGAGGGUGCAAGCGUUAUCCGGAUUCACUGGGUUUAAAGGGAGCGUAGGUGGGUUGGUAAGUCAGUGGUGAAAUCCCCGAGCUUAACUUGGGAACUGCCAUUGAUACUAUCAAUCUUGAAUUCUGUGGAGGUAAGCGGAAUAUAUCAUGUAGCGGUGAAAUGCUUAGAUAUGAUAUAGAACACCAAUAGCGAAGGCAGCUUACUACGCAGAUAUUGACACUGAGGCUCGAAAGCGUGGGGAUCAAACAGG